rnacentral:rRNA from 1 species
UACGGAGGGUGCAAGCGUUGUUCGGAUUUAUUGGGCGUAAAGCGCGUGUAGGCGGUCUUCUAAGUCUGAUGUGAAAGCCCUGGGCUCAACCCAGGAAGUGCAUUGGAUACUGGAAGACUUGAAUACGGGAGAGGGUAGUGGAAUUCCUAGUGUAGGAGUGAAAUCCGUAGAUAUUAGGAGGAACACCGGUGGCGAAGGCGGCUACCUGGACCGAUAUUGACGCUGAGACGCGAAAGCGUGGGGAGCAACAGG